GUUGUGAGAGCAAGAGCCCGGAGAUGGAUUCUGAGACACGAAUCCAGGCCCUACGGGGCGCAGCAGGCGCGAAAACUUUACAAUGCGAGAAAUCGUGAUAAGGGAACCCCGAGUGCCCGUAAAUUCGGGCUGUCCGCCAGUGUAAAUAACUGGUGAAGAAAGGGCCGGGCAAGACCGGUGCCAGCCGCCGCGGUAAUACCGGCGGCUCGAGUGGUGGCCACUAUUACUGGGCUUAAAGCGUCCGUAGCUGGAUUGUUAAGUCUCUUGGGAAAUCCACCGGCUCAACCGAUGGGCGUUCAGGAGAAACUGGCAAUCUAGGGACCGGGAGAGGUGAGAGGUACUCCAGGGGUAGGAGUGAAAUCCUGUAAUCCUUGGGGGACCACCUGUGGCGAAGGCGUCUCACUAGAACGGCUCCGACAGUGAGGGACGAAAGCUGGGGGAGCAAACCGGAUUAGAUACCCGGGUAGUCCCAGCUGUAAACGAUGCGCGUUAGGUGUAUCGGUGACCACGAGUCAUCGAGGUGCCGAAGGGAAACCGUGAAACGUG
rnacentral:rRNA from 1 species